UAAAUAAAUUAAUAAAGAAGUACGUUCAGAUAUACAUAUUAUAUAUUUGAAACAAAAUGAUAAGCAAUAGGCAUUUGCGUAGACUCCGAAAGAGGGAAAGGGAAGCUAACCUUGAAAAGUUAGCGCUUUGCAGGGAAGGAAAAGUGAUAGGAAAAUUGGAAGAAAAAGAAUUGGCUGAAACAGGAAUUCCGAUAGAAGGGAAGGAAUUAGCUUAUGAAAAUACCGAGAUUCAGCCAAACAAAUCGCCAUUAAAUGAUGAGCUUAGUCAGUGCUUUAUAAAGCAAAGUCAAAAGCGUGCAUGUGUAUCACCAAAAAAAGUUAUGGGCUUUUCCAUGCCAAGCAACGAAAAUGAGGAAGGUAAAACAUGCUCGGACGUUUUAGAUGAGCUCAAAAAAACAACCGAAACUCUGCAAUUGGAGAAAGCAGCUAUUCGUGAUCAAUUAAAAAAAGUGCUCAAAAUUUUGGCGGAUCAAACUGUUUUGAUCAAACAGCUGGUCAAGGAGAAAGGGGAAAUGAAUCCCAUUCGGGAACAAGGCACUUAGGUCCCACAAGGAAUUUUUUGCAGCUUUGCUAGAAUGUAUUACGCCUGGAGAGGAGAACCCCGAAGGCAUUUUACGGAAAGCAAUGCAGAGGAUGGAAAAGAAGUUUUUCAAAAAGAAAUGUAUGGAAAUGGACUAGUCUAAGCUACAUACAAUUUAAUAUUAUACGUUUAUAUUGGAA
rnacentral:sRNA from 1 species